ACCCCAACAGCUAGCCCACCUUAAAAAUUCAACAAACAACAUUAAUUAACCCAACACUUGCUUAACCCAAAAAUUAAACCAUUCUUCCACCCUAGUACGGGAGACAGAAAAGGACACAUAGGCGCCAUAGAGAAAGUACCGCAAGGGAAAGCUGAAAGAGAACUGAAACAACCCAGUGAAGGGCACAGAAGCAGAGACUUGCACUCGUACCUUUUGCAUCAUGAUUUAACGAGCAUCUUCAAGCAAAGAGACCUUUACGUUUGAGCCCCCGAAACUAAGCGAGCUACUCCAAGACAGCCUAUUAUAGGGCGAACCCGUCUCUGUGGCAAAAGAGUGGGAAGAGCUUCGAGUAGAGGUGAUAGACCUACCGAGAUUAGUGAUAGCUGGUUGCCUGAGAAUUGAAUAGAAGUUCAGCCUUUUGAAUUCUUUAACCCAAAAUGGUCACUCACCCGCCCCAGGUCAAAAGAUAAUCAGAAGAGUUAUUCACUGGAGGGACAGCCCCAUUGAAACAAGACACAACUUUUAGAGAAGGUAAAAGAUCAAAAGAUAUAAAGGAAUAAUACCCAAGUGGGCCUAAAAGCAGCCACCCCUUAAGAAAGCGUUAAAGCUUAAGUAUGCAAACCCUAUAAUACCGACUACAACAUCUUAUACCCCCCCAACCUAUCAGGCCCGCCCAUGCAUCCAUGGACAAGACAAUGUUAAAAUGAGUAAUAAGAGAGCCCAGACCCUCUCACGAGCAUCCGUGUAUAUCAUAACGAACCCCCGAUGAAAAUUAACGCUCCCAACCCCAGAGGGCAAUGAACCACCCACACAAAACAAGAAAACCUCUCACCUCUCUCAGCGUUAACCCCACACAGGAGUGCCCCAUGAAAGACAAAAAGAGAAAGAAGGAACUCGGCAAACACUGGCCUCGCCUGUUUACCAAAAACAUCGCCUCUUGCCCCCCACAGUAUAAGAGGUCCCGCCUGCCCUGUGACCCAAAGUUUAACGGCCGCGGUAUUUUGACCGUGCGAAGGUAGCGUAAUCACUUGUCUUUUAAAUGAAGACCUGUAUGAAUGGCAUAACGAGGGCUAAGCUGUCUCCUUUCUCCAGUCAAUGAAAUUGAUCUGCCCGUGCAGAAGCGGGCAUACACACAUAAGACGAGAAGACCCUAUGGAGCUUAAGACACCAGGAUAGCCCACGUUAAACAACCCUCCCCAAUGGAAUAAACCAAAUGGCCCCUAUUCCCCUGUCUUUGGUUGGGGCGACCGCGGGGGAACAAAGAUCCCCCACGUGGAACAGGCCAAGCCUUAAAGCCAGAGCCACGGCUCUAACAAACAGAAACUCUGACCACCAAGAUCCGGCAAAGCCGAUCAACGGACCCAGUUACCCUAGGGAUAACAGCGCAAUCCCCUUCUAGAGCCCAUAUCGACAAGGGGGUUUACGACCUCGAUGUUGGAUCAGGACCUCCUAAUGGUGCAGCCGCUAUUAAGGGUUC
rnacentral:rRNA from 1 species